CCCGGUUCGCCGGGAGGAGAUGUGGUCUGGGUGGCGCGGACGGCGUUCGCGCCGCCACGACUGAAUCGCAAG
rnacentral:ncRNA from 1 species